rnacentral:rRNA from 1 species
GGGAAUCUACCGAGCCCUGCGGAAUAGCUCCGGGAAACUGGAAUUAAUACCGCAUACGCCCUACGGGGGAAAGAUUUAUCGGGGUUUGAUGAGCCCGCGUUGGAUUAGCUAGUUGGUGGGGUAAAGGCCUACCAAGGCGACGAUCCAUAGCUGGUCUGAGAGGAUGAUCAGCCACAUUGGGACUGAGACACGGCCCAAACUCCUACGGGAGGCAGCAGUGGGGAAUAUUGGACAAUGGGCGCAAGCCUGGUCCAGCCAUGCCGCGUGAGUGAUGAAGGCCCUAGGGUUGUAAAGCUCUUUCAACGGUGAAGAUAAUGACGGUAACCGUAGAAGAAGCCCCGGCUAACUUCGUGCCAGCAGCCGCGGUAAUACGAAGGGGGCUAGCGUUGUUCGGAAUUACUGGGCGUAAAGCGCACGUAGGCGGAUAUUUAAGUCAGGGGUGAAAUCCCGGGGCUCAACCUCGGAACUGCCUUUGAUACUGGGUAUCUUGAGUAUGGAAGAGGUAAGUGGAAUUGCGAGU